AACAAAAACAUGUCCUUUAGAAUGGAAUUUAAGGUCUAACCUGCCCAAUGAGGGAUUUAAUGGCCGCAGUAUUUUGACUGUGCAAAGGUAGCAUAAUCAUUAGUUUUUUAAUUGAAAGCUUGUAUGAAUGGUUGGACGAGAUAUAAACUGUCUUUAAAUUAAGAAUAGAAUUUAAUUUUUAAGUAAAAAAGCUUAAAUAUAAUUAAAAGACGAGAAGACCCUAUAAAUCUUUAUAAAUUUAUUUGUUUAAUUUUUUAGUAUUAUUUAAUUUUUAUAUAUAUAAAUUUAUUUUAUUGGGGUAAUAGAAAGAUUUAAAAAAUUCUUUUUUAAAAAAAUUCAUUGAUUAGUGUAUUUUAUGAUCCUGUAUUAUAGAUUAUAAGAUUAAGUUACUUUAGGGAUAACAGCGUAAUUUUUUUAAAGAGUUCUUAUCGAUAAAAAAGUUUGCGACCUCGAUGUUG
rnacentral:rRNA from 1 species